GAUCCAGACUUUGAUCCUGGCUCAGGAUGAACGCUAGCUACAGGCUUAACACAUGCAAGUCGAGGGGAAACGAUAGAGAAAGCUUGCUUUUUCUAGGCGUCGACCGGCGCACGGGUGAGUAACGCGUAUCCAACCUGCCCACCACUUGGGAAUAACCUUGCGAAAGUAAGACUAAUACCCAAUGACGUCUCUAGAAGACAUCUGAAAGAGAUUAAAGAUUUAUCGGUGAUGGAUGGGGAUGCGUCUGAUUAGCUUGUUGGCGGGGUAACGGCCCACCAAGGCGACGAUCAGUAGGGGUUCUGAGAGGAAGGUCCCCCACAUUGGAACUGAGACACGGUCCAAACUCCUACGGGAGGCAGCAGUGAGGAAUAUUGGUCAAUGGGCGAGAGCCUGAACCAGCCAGGUAGCGUGCAGGAAGACGGCCCUAUGGGUUGUAAACUGCUUUUAUAAGGGAAUAAAGUGAGUCUCGUGAGACUUUUUGCAUGUACCUUAUGAAUAAGGACCGGCUAAUUCCGUGCCAGCAGCCGCGGUAAUACGGAAGGUCCGGGCGUUAUCCGGAUUUAUUGGGUUUAAAGGGAGCGUAGGCCGGAGAUUAAGCGUGUUGUGAAAUGUAGACGCUCAACGUCUGCACUGCAGCGCGAACUGGUUUCCUUGAGUACGCACAAAGUGGGCGGAAUUCGUGGUGUAGCGGUGAAAUGCUUAGAUAUCACGAAGAACUCCGAUUGCGAAGGCAGCUCACUGGAGCGCAACUGACGCUGAAGCUCGAAAGUGCGGGUAUCGAACAGGAUUAGAUACCCUGGUAGUCCGCACGGUAAACGAUGGAUGCCCGCUGUUGGUCUGAAUAGGUCAGCGGCCAAGCGAAAGCAUUAAGCAUCCCACCUGGGGAGUACGCCGGCAACGGUGCAACUCAAAGGAAUUGACGG
rnacentral:rRNA from 1 species